UAGGGAAUCUUCGGCAAUGGACGAAAGUCUGACAGAGCAACGCCGCGUGAGUGAAGAAGGCUUUCGGAUCGUAAAACUCUGUUGUUAGAGAAGAACAAGGACGUUAGUAACUGAACGUCCCCUGACGGUAUCUAACCAGAAAGCCACGGCUAACUACGUGCCAGCAGCCGCGGUAAUACGUAGGUGGCAAGCGUUGUCCGGAUUUAUUGGGCGUAAAGCGAGCGCAGGUGGUUUCUUAAGUCUAAUGUGAAAUCCCCCGGCUCAACCGGGGAGGGUCAUUGGAAACUGGGAGACUUGAGUACAGAAGAGGAGAGUGGAAUUCCAUGUGUAGCGGUGAAAUGCGUAGAUAUAUGGAGGAACACCAGUGGCGAAGGCGGCUCUCUGGUCUGUUACUGACACUGAGGCUCGAAAGCGUGGGGAGCAAACAGG
rnacentral:rRNA from 1 species